rnacentral:tRNA from 1 species
GAUGGCCUGGCCGAGUGGUUUAGGCGAUGGACUAGAAAUCUUUUGGGAUCUUCCCGCGCAGGUUCGAAUCCUGCCGACAUCG